rnacentral:rRNA from 1 species
AUUGAACGCUGGCGGCAUGCCUUACACAUGCAAGUCGAACGGCAGCGGGGGAGAAGCUUGCUUUUCCUGCCGGCGAGUGGCGAACGGGUGAGUAAUACAUCGGAACGUGCCCUGUAGUGGGGGAUAACUAGUCGAAAGAUUAGCUAAUACCGCAUACGACCUGAGGGUGAAAGUGGGGGACCGCAAGGCCUCAUGCUAUAGGAGCGGCCGAUGUCUGAUUAGCUAGUUGGUGGGGUAAAGGCCUACCAAGGCGACGAUCAGUAGCUGGGCUGGGAGGACGAGCAGCCACACUGGGGCGGAAACACAGCCCAGACUCCUACGGGGGGCAGCGGGGGGGAAUGUUGUGCAAUGGGCGAAAGCCUAUGCCAGCAAUGCCGGGUGUGUGAAGCAGGCCUUCGGGUUGUAAAGCACUGUUGUCCGGAAAGAAAUGGCUCUGGUUAAUACCUGGGGUCGAUGACGGUACCGGAGGAAUAAGGACCGGCUAACUACGUGCCAGCAGCCGCCGUAA